rnacentral:lncRNA from 1 species
AACUCUCUCUCUUUCUGAUUGAGUGUAAGCUGCUAUAUGAAGGGAUCCACAAGACGAAUAAUUAAGGGGGACCUCUGAUCAACAGCCAGCAAGGAACUGAAUCCCUCAGACCCACAACUCACAAGAAACUGAAGCUGAAGCAGAUUCUUCCUCAGUCAAGCUUCAGGUGCCCAGCUGUAUUGGUAGAGGAGACCAACCACACCCUCCACAGCACAGCACCUGGAGAGGAACUGCUGCCAUGACCAUAGAGGACACCCUCUGGAUACAAUGCCAGACUUGAUGUGGGACUGACCAACCUAUGGACCCCAGGCACCACCACCCAGACCUGCUCAGCACCUGAAACAUUCACAGCCGUGGAGAGAGAACUGUUCACUGCUACCAUCCACACUUCUGGGCCCCUUCAGCAGCAGGGUGACAAGGAAGAGGGAAAUCGACUUGGAAAAGAGGGGACCUCUGACCCAAGAGUUCGGUCAAUGCAUAUGUUGGCAGCCAGCUGCACAUCGCACCAAAUAUGAACUUCAAAUAGAAGAAAGCCUCAUUUGGAAGAAAGCUCAUGCACAGACUGUAAAUAUUUCAGAGCAGAUUGUGUCUCUGUAGAUUAACCGGAUACAGUGGCUUGCACCUGUGGUCUCAGCGACUUGGGCGACUGAAGCAAGAAGAUCACUUGAGCCUAGGAGUUCGAGGCUACAGCAAGCUAUGACCGUGCCACUGCACUCCAGCCUGGGCGUGACAGACCAGCUCUUCUUCUGAAGGAUGACCACCUGGAAUAAGAGCAGCCCUAGGCCCCCCACCUCACUCCAGGUGGCAGAUCCACAGAGAUGGUAGCGAUACAGAAGCACAGCUUCCGAUGGCUUCCCCGUGUCUUCAGUUUGCAGCCUUAUUUCGGUGCUUGGACGUGCUUAACUUCUCAGGAUUAUAUUCUGCUUUGGAGUGCAAGGAGAAAGUCACAGUCUAGUUUUAUGAAGACCAAACUAGAGAAAAUCGAGUUAUCUUAAAGUGUAUGACAUCUCCACAAAUGAAUGUUUAUGGCUUUACACUUGGAGUGUUCUUGGAACACUCUUCAUAGCAAAUCCUCCCUCAGAAGACCCCCACCUGGCAUCAGAACAAACGUGGUGGAAAUCCUGAAAUGCUUCUGGCUCUGGGAUGAAGGCUAAGUCCUUAGGAUGGCUGGCAUUUGUAACUCCUACUGUAGUUCACACCCAUGUGGGCUCAGCACUAGCACAGUGCUUUUCUGAUGUCAUAGAUGAACGGAUGGCAUACAGAAACGGUAAGAAUGAUCCUACUUCAAUAGAGUUGCUGUGAGGAUUCACUGAGAUCAUGUGUACCAAGCUCCUACAAUAGUACUGAACCCACAGCCAUGGAUCAAGACCAUUAACUUAUAAUCAGUGAUAGCCAAGAGGAUGGGAAGAGAAUAUUAAGCCUGGUGCUCUGCAAAUUAAUACUUGCAGCUUAAAAAUACGCUGGACAUGCGACAAUGGUGCUGAGUACUUUGGGGGAAGAUCACAACAGUCCUGGUAGCAGUGUCACAGCAAAAUAUUUCAGAGGUACCAGAUGAGCUAGCUCCAAGGCAAAUGAGGCAAUAUUAUGUUUAACUGUUUGUUCGGAAACUUCUUUUAUUAAAAAAGAUUUUAAAUAUUAAUGCUAUUUUCAAUACAGGUGUGAUAACACUCAAUAAAGCAUGGUGUACUUGAUAUAAA